GAUGCAUGAGAACAUGACUAGAGAAAUCAAAACCACUGGUGAUGGUUAGAAGCAGCAACAACACCUGCACAAAAAGAAGAGGGACAGGCAGGACGACAUGAAAAUGGUGUUCAAACUUCAACCAAGAGAAGGCCUUAAAGUACUACUUACGUACUCGAGGAGAAGUAGAAGAGGCAGCAGAGAUAUGAGGAGUUGGCAGGCAGCAAGUUAAGGAAAGAGGCUACAGAGGAAAACAUUGACAUACUAUGACAACAAGUCGCAGAACAAGAAUGAGCUCAAGCAGGAAAUUCAUGGAACUCUGGUGAGAUGCCCAAUACCAUUACUGAAGAUAACAAUGCUAAAGAUGGAUUUGAUGCCAUCCAACACCAAUCCCAUCAGACUAACUCUGAUUUUGGUGUCUCGAUCAAUAAAUUGAGCCUAGUCGCGUAUCAACUGCGCGUCCGCUGAUUCUGCAUUGAAUAUAAGUCAUGGUACUGAAGACCUCGUAUGUUUUUCUUUUCACGGAGAUCAUGAGACCAACAAAGAGAAAAGCAUGAGACCUCCAAUCAUUGAUUAUGCCGGGAACUGGUUGACACACCACCGAGAUCCACCUAUUCAGUAUCUGGAUACUAGUUGUGACAGAGAUAUGGAGAAGAUUUACGAUUCAGAAGUUUAUAUAUAAGUUCAGAAUCUGGUUUAGACAUUCAAUAAGAGCACGGCUGUAGGACUCAAAAACCCCAUGGACAUGAUGCAGAUGCCUAUGGAGGUGUUCACCUAUGAGAUAAACUGGACGGUGGUUUCCAAGGUGUUCACCUAUUCGAGUCAUCAUGAUUUGCAUGAGGCAAUGAGACAUUGAAUGAUUAAAGAAGUUAUGAAGCUUCUUGAGAAGGAAAUGCCAGUGUGGUUGGUCAGGUCGUCGACAACAUCAAAAAACAAAACCGUCCAUCCCAAAUGCUGGAGCUGCUUGAACUCUCAAUUCUAUGCUGAAACAAUUGUCUGAACUCUAUGGAGGACGCUCUCAUACUAGUAAAAAUAUUUGAGACAGCAUUUCCUGUAUCUGUCGAGCGUGGAAGGUAUGCCUACAGACAACAACUUGCGUCAGGAAGAUUCAGUCUGGCACAGAGCACUGAUCGUGUUGGAGGUGUGAUUAAAAGGAAUAGGUGCUACAGUUAUCCAGUGCUUGACUUUGAGACGCUUCAUGAAGCAAACUGGUUAGGGAGUGUGAUUCCGCGGAAUACAGAGAAGUUGCCUUCUUAAGAGGUUGAUUGGGUUUU